UCAACUUUUUUGGAAAGGACAGAAAAAAGUGCAGUGGUCUCUUAAUUAUUUCCAGAGCUGUAUAUAUAUUUUUUUAAGUUUAUUAAAAUGUAUUACAGGUAACAACUUAUAGCACUUUUGGGACUUAAGUUUAUCAACUUAAAAAUGCCAUAUUUUAUUAAAAUGAACAAAAUUGAUGAGGGAAUGAUGAUGAUGUGCAGUGCAAGAAUCAUGUUUAAAAUGUCACCUUGAUCACACCUACAACAUGGGUAUUUGUGCAUGUUCAACACUCACCUUUGUUACAAUUUUCGUCAAGCUGUUUACAAACCAUUUACUGUGUAUGUUAGAUCAAUCUAACACACCACACAGUACAUACUGAAGCUUUACAUCCCAGUGCUGCAAUGCAAAUAUGCAGUAGCGGUGAAUUGGAAUGGAACGUUUUCCUGGUGUGCCAGAGGGCUAUGAUGCAGUAGGUGUGAUCGAGGCAUUGCCAUUUAAUGUCCUGAACAUUAAUUAGUUAUUCAGGUCCAUAUCAGUGAGGAUAGAAUUUGUUAUGUGUACAAAAAAAUGCACAGGACACAAAUGAAAGUUUUGGCAUAAGCUUUUAACAUUUUUAUUGAGUUUUGAUGUUUUCUCUUUAAAUUGGAUUUGUUUGUUUUUCCAGUAAAUUUUGUGUUUUUUUCAUAAUUUUAUUAUUCUUGUUUUAUUUACCUAUCUGUAAAGGAGAAGAGUUGUUCAGUUUAAUUAGCAUUCACUUUCAAACUUUCAUACUUUUUAUAAUAGAACUGUUUUAAGUCUCUUUUUUCACAAACUUUGUUAAAUUAUUACUGUUUAUUCAUCUUUUUUCUUUACAUGUUUCAAAAAUAUAAAAGGUAAAUAAUAAACAUUCCAUUGAAAUAUAUUUUAUACAGUUCUUGAUUCGUUUUUUUUAUUUUCCUGUGUUAUGACAUUAAAAUUGUAUCCAGCAUCUGUCUUUACAGCAUAAACCCCAUUCAGUGUUAUUGUAGUAACCUUCUCUUCCUCCAUCUCUGUCUUCCCUCUCUUCUGCCCCUGAUAGGAAAGUUGCAUGGCAGCACCCAGUGCCUUGUUCGCUGGCGACAAUGUAGUCAUAGCACAACAGUUGAGAGGACGAGUAGAAAUGGUAGCUGCAUUGCCGUUUUUAGUGCAAUGUAACUUUUCAAAUGUAAAAAGGUACAACACAAAUCAGCAGUCAAACCAAUAAAUCGGUCAAAAAAAGGCAGCAGAUGCUAAGAAAAAGGAAUAAAAGAAGAAAAUAAAAACAGAGAACCACAGAUAAAAUGAAUAACAAUGAUGUGCAUCCAAACAGAUACAUGUUAUACUCUUUGAAGUGACAGGCUACAUGAUGCGUCGGUCUAUGGGUGAAGAUGUAUCGAUGUUUAGGACAGGUGCACACGUAACAAUGUAAAAGAAGGGACAGACCGGUGCUAUAAUACUGGCACUGCUGAGAUCUCCCAGAUGUUUUACGUGUAUCAGUGACAAUAUCGGACUCAUGAAACUGAGCCUAGUUCACCUUCCUUUUCCUUUCAAGAGCAAUUCACAUACAUAUAGCCAAUAUAUUCCUACCAAUUCAAUCAAGCCACACAAAACAAAAUAAUGAAACAAAAGAAGGUAAAACAGCUAUAUAGAAAAAUAUUUUUUCUUUUUUUUAAUAGUUAAUUCAUUUUACUUUGCAUAUUCCCCCCGCCCCCCAGUCCUCUCACCACUGGCUGAGAGAGAAAGAGGAAGACAGAGAUUGCUGGCGAAAAGAGAGUUACUUCAUUCUGGCCAUUCACAAAUAAGUUAUAUUUUUUACUUUUUUUUCUCCCACGCAUGCAUUAGAAUUCAACUUCAAACAAUAUGUUAGAAAAACACAAGAACAGGGAUGCAAAAAGAGCUUCUUCCUCAAAAAAUGUGUGGAGGAGGGAAAGAAGGAGAGGGGGCUAGGAGACAGGGGGGAGGGAGGAAGACGGGGGGUAAGAGAGAAUACGUGACAGCGGGGUUUUCUGGCUUUACUCGGCUUCUCUCUUGAUAUGUUUCGUAUUUGGGUUUCAAGUAAAGUUAUGCAAGUGUUGAGCUGUCAUUCCUCUCAAAUGGGCGUGGCUCAAGUUCAGGAGCAGGGUCACACACUACCCCUGACACAUUAUCACUGACAUUGUGGAACCGACAACUGCGGUAGGCCAGUCAUUCACAUGUGGAGGUUGUUCAAUGGUACCAGCUCAGGAUCCACCAGUAGUACAUGAGUUGGUAAAAAUGCUUCUGAAUCAUGAUGGAAACAUGACAAAUUAAUCAAUAGCUGCUUUUCUAAAAAAGAGUUACUACUUCUUACCUGCUGUGUUUUUUUUAAAGGUUAAAAGUUAGGUUUAAAGUUACUUAACAAGUUUAGGGACAUGGCAUGGGACUGGCCCACAAAAUCAAGGGUUUGGAACAAAUUAUUGCUAUGACAAUAGUCCCUCCUCCCCCUCCAAUGUAAUGAAACAUCAAUAUUUCCAUUAUCUGUGCCUAGGCGUUCUACCAGAAGGAUGGUAUGGGGGUGUAUGAUCUGUGCCUAGGUGUUCUACCAGAAGGAUGGUGUGGGGGUGUAUGAUCUGUGCCUAGGUGUUCUACCAGAAGGAUGGUGUGGGGGUGCAUGAUCUGUGCCUAGGUGUUCUACCAGAGGGAUGGUGUGGGGGUGUAUGAUCUGUCCAUAUCUUUCACUGUUUGUGCCAGUUGUGGUCGUCCCCUUUUUUCUUCCCACUGACCUGGCACUCUAUCCUUCUCUAACCUACAGUCAUUUCCAUUGUCAGAAUGAAACGUCUUGCAGCGAGAAAUGCUUCCAUAUGUCUCUCUCAACUGAAACUUUUUGUAAUUUUGGUAACAGACACCGUGCCCCAAUAACACUUUUUAGAAAGCGAGAGGAGUUGAAUGGAAGGAGAGGGGGAUAUGUGAAACGGGGAGUCUGGUAGCAGGAUUCAAACAUAAGAUGAAUGAAGUAGAUCCAGUGAAUACAAUGGAAACUUUGAGUUCAUGUACUUCUCCCAAGUGGCAAACUCCAGGGUCCCCCCAAUCCCAUUUACUUCAGUAAACAAUGCAUCAUGCUAGAUGAAGUAGCUGCCUCUGUUUCCCCCAACCCCUUCUUUGCCCUGUUCUUGCCCUCCCACACACGACAGACCCAAUACACUGAACUCCUUUGGCACGAUGAUAUAUUGAAUUAUAAUCGGAUGCUACAAACUCUUGCAUAGGUAGAUGCUCAGUUCUGAGUACAGUUCACUCAGCAUCUCUGGAACAUCAUCAAAAUCUCUAUCAUUGUGUUACACCAAAUAAACAAACCCACAAACAAACUGUCUGAUUUUGGCAAGUGAACACAAGUGAGCACGUGAUAAAAAAGGUAACACGCAAAUGAAUGUAACCCAAAUGGAAUUUGAAACGGUAAAAAGUGACAUCCAUUGAAAAUCUCUUCUCCCCGCUGGAUUAAUAAUUAACAGCCCUGAGAUGAACCCUGCCCUGCUGGGACACUCUGCUUGAUCAGAAUGUUACCAGUAACUAGGCCAUGGCUCAGAUCGUGGCCCUCUUAUCUGGGGAUAAACCACAUCCUACACAUCACACCGGCACCCCAGGAGAGGCAGAACAAGAGGCUACUGGAGACGAGCUAAACUCUGUCGUAGGCUUAGCUAAGGGUUUGCGGUGACUGGCGUGAAAUGACCUGCACGACAACACACACAGGUUUACCGGGGCAACAUGACACAACGGUUUUCACUUGCCAAAGAAACAUGGAAGGGAAAAAGUGAAAACUGGUUUCUGUUGCUGAGGGUGUGGUAACGACGCUAUAGCAAUGCAUCCAGCCAUACUGCAGGGCAGUCAGUGGUGGUGGAACGUCAACAAGAGCUUCUGUUCAUUUACAGACACCACAACAAUUUAAACAUAUUUUGCACAGAGUGUGGUGUUAAAUUCACAUGUCUUUGAGCAGCCGUUUUCCUGGCAAUGCUGACCCCAUCUGAGAAAAUGGCGCAAAGAUGACUGCUUCUCCAGGGGCUAGGGGCGCCAGCGUGCGUAAAACAUACACGGUCAACUGUCUGCAGAGUUAGUGACCUGGAACUAGUUUCUCUCAGGGAGCGGAGGAAUGUGUUUAAUGCCAAAAUGAUACAUUAUGCACCUCCCUGUAAUAAUGAAGAUAAGACUGCAGGACAUUAUCACACAGAACUAAUGUAUCAGGUCUGAGGGAAGAAAGAGCUGUCUAUGGCCACUAAGUCCAGUGCUACAGGAGCAACCUAGCUAGCUAGGAAAAUAAAUUAAUAUUACCGGGCUACUUGAAGUAAUCAGUGCUGAUUUAUUGUGUGUCCUGGCUGAGUGUGUUCAUGGCUAACAAACUGUCUGCUAGGUAACGCUAUGCUACCUUACUAUUACCUCAUAGGGUCUACACCAGGGCCCCAGUGGUGAAGCAAACAUCUUAAGCACAAGGCUGAAAGAAAAACAAAAGCAUGGUCAUAUCCAUUUGAGCACAGUCCACAUUUCUCAUUGAGCAAGUUCAGGUAUAGUCCGUCCCCGAUCGGUCCCAUUUUCCUUUGUUCAUAUCGUAGUGAAUACCACCCUCUAAUCUAAGAACAGUCCAACUAAACAGAGUUAUGCAGACAGAUGGAACAGUGAAAAGGGGGCCUGAAUGGACAGCAGGGUGGAAGACACAGAGAACUGGCAGCAGGGGGCGCCAUUGGGGCGGUAGGACCAGAGAGUGAGCAGUAGUAGAAGAAAAAGCAGAGCGAGUAGUCAUAGUAGUAUCAGGGGAAGGUCCUCACAGUUCAUCUCUGGAAGAUUUGUGGGGUUUGUUUCUUAAGAAAACAUAGUUCAUUGAAUGUGUAUCUUGCAAUCCUAUAUAUUUUUUUCGUUAUUCCUUUUUUAUUAUCCAAAAACAAAAUAUAGAUCUCCUUUUUUAUAGAAUCCUGCUUUUUUUAUUAGUUGCAUAUAACAUAAAUCUUUUUAGUUUCAUCUUGAUUUUGUUCUUUUUUUUUUAUUCCUAGCCCUCUUUUUUGGUGGGGAGGCGGGGUGGUUAGGGCUUGCAGAAGUAGAGUCAUGCAGAAUAGUCAUGCUGGUAAACAAAGUAAUAAAAAUGCAUUUCCCAAUUUUUCCACUUCUUUUGCCGGAAUAGUUCAUCAAAGUUCACCCUCUUCACGCUCUUUUCCCGCACUUCUUGUGAACCUUUCUAAAACCCCCAGAUCUGAUCUUCCUACUUCCUAUAGAGAGGAGAAAGAUCCUUACAGUAAACUCUCUCAACAAGCAGCAGACCGGUUGUCAAGUUGACCCUUGCUGAUAGUUACCAAUCAGAUCUUUUUGAACAAGGUUGAUUCCUCAUUUGUUUGGUUUGAAGAGUCUCUCUGAUCGCCCUCUUCAUUCUUUAGUUCGGUAGGUUUCGUUCUUCAGGUAUUUUCGUUCAUGCCAUGCAGUUUGCUACGGAGGAGGCGCGAUGCUGAGAUGCAGAAGGGCAGAGGUAAAGAGAGGGAGAGAUGGAGAAAGAGAGGGCGAUGUCCUGUAUGUCCUUGUUUCCCAAGCAGUCGCUUCUGGUCACAGCGUUUGCGUUGCGGUCAUGUUCCAGUGUCUCUCUCCAUUGGUUUCCUCCUCAACUCUUCAGCACACACAAGUAUACUCAGGUUGUAUUUGGGCCUUUGUGGAUGAGUAGGUUCCUCAAGUUCAGACGGCACCCUCUUGCAUGUAACAUCAGUCAUAGUCAGUCAGUCAGUUAUUGUAUUGUCAGACACGCCUUUGUAUGAAAUGGCAAGUGGCAUGGUAUCUUAAAUGAGUCUGGUUGCUCCAUAAGCCACUGUAAUUCACCACCUUCGGAAAGUGCGUCUCUUGUGGAAGUUAAGAAAAGAGUUGUCAAUCAAAGGUGUGACUGACUGAACGUAGGUAUUGCCACCUCAGUGAACUGACUCGAGUCAGUGGACUGACACAGUGGUCGUUCAAACUCAAAGCUUUGCAUAGUUUGGCCGCCUAACAGAUAGAAAUGCUUGUGUGUCAAUUUAGCCAUUGGCAAGCACCUGGCUCUUAUUUUCAGGAGUCCCACCCACGCUGACAAUGCUGUGUAAUCUCAGAAUGCAGCUGCAGCUAGUUUGUAUAGCCUACCCCAUAUAGCCAAACUUCGGCAUAGUACUGUACUUCAAGAGCAUAUAUUAUCUUAAUGGUAUAUUGGGACGACAACCAAGUUGUGGAACGUUGUUCUACUGUCCCAUGUUCCUUUUGUUCUGUUUUAGGGAACUUUUGUGAUAUUGUUUGAUUGAUUUGGAAUUUCUUUAGCAAUGACUUAGCAUAUUACGACUGAAGUACAGUGAUAUAAGGUGUGAAUAGGGUGACAUAAGGAAUGGGUUUCAGUGUGUUUUUUUUCUCCAGGUAGUCAGAGUCAGGUUUCAUAGGGAGGGUGCAGAUUGAGCAGUCCACAGGAACAAGAGAUCAACUAAUCUCUUCCAGUCAGUUUUUCAUCCAUCCUCCUCUCAUCGUCCUUUCAGAUCUCUCUCUCUUUCUCUCUCCAACUACGUCUCCCUUCAGCCUACAGUAAAUCCAGUAGGGGGCGCUGGGUGAAUUGUGUCCUAAGGGUUGUCCCUCUUCUUGGAGAGAAAGGGUGAUUUUAGAAACUCAACACUGGAACAAAGAGAGAACAGAAACAGGGACUGUUGUCAGUGCACAUUCCAGCAGACCUAGAACAUCAACGGGCUAACCAGAUUAGAUGUUUAAAAACAUAUUGAAACAGGGUUUUUAGUUGACAUUAAUAGCAUAACAUGCUUGAAUGGGAUAUUUAAUUCAUUAUAUAUUCUCAGUAGUCAAUGGUAAAAAAAGAUAUUGUUUAUAUGACUGGAUGAGUACAACUCUUCAAAUACAAGAGCUAACUGAUCUAUAGACGACAAGAGCAAACAAAAGACCUGCUUUUGGCAAAGCACAUCUGGCAUGCAUGUACACAAAAUAGGAAAUGGCAGGAAAGCAUGUACACCUUGUACGCACACACACAAUCGCAUACACACAUACACACAGUACGCAGACACACCAACAAAAAUGCCGUGGGUGGUUUCAGUCCUUGAGGGCUGUUAAGUCCUCUGGCGUUUGUCCACCUCUUAAUUCAUCAGUUAGUCAUAGUCGAAUAGUGAGCCAUUUGAGCAAAAAUCAUUCCCACACAGGACCACAGCCCACCAGGACUGUUAGCAAAGCUAAACAGACCGAGUGCUAUAAGAACUUCAGUCAGUGUAUGCAUCCUAAAGCCUACAAAAGCACAGAAGCGACAUGGAGGAAAUAAUGAAACACUAAACAGAGCGAAGCACGGAAACACAAGACACGUGCUACACAAAGACUGUUACUACACACACAGACACACACCGCUAGAACACAGCACAAAGAGCACAGCACAGAACACAGCACACAGAGCACAGCGCAGAACACAGCACACAGAACACAGCGCAGAACACAGCACACAGAACACAUUCUUACACUGAGAAGCGACCAGCUUUGUUCCUCCUCUCAUUUAGUUUUUGUUCUUUCUUCCCCAAACUGUCCUCCAUUUCAUGGUUCUUCCUUUGUUGACAAACCUUCUUUUAAAAAAAUGUAUAUACAGUUCCUAUCCCCCCCCUCCCCUCCCCUGCAUGAAAAAAACAAUAUCUGCAACACCUGACAGUCUUUCUGUCCACUUCUAUGCUCUGGAGUCGUUUGCAAUCCACUUUAGGGAAGAUGGAGUUCACGUUAUGGUGGUGGUCAUUUAAUUUCUCCCCCAAAGUCUGUUAUUUUUGGUUUUUGUAAUGGACGCAGUAGAGAUGGCACAUCUCAAAAUAGAAAAGAAGCAACAAUUGGAGAAGGGCGAGAUGGGGUAAAACAAGGGAUGAGGACACAGAACACACAAUAUUUACAGGUAUGCACAAACUGCAGAGGAAGCAGAACAUUUCAAACCUUCUCUCUGUCCGGCUCUGUUAGACAAAAAUGUCUGGAAGCACUGAUUUCAACCAACAUAGAGAGAGAGAGAUAUAUAUAUACCUGAGUUGUGAAUGAAGCCUGAAGUAACAGGUAAAAAUGAAGAAGAGGGAAGAGUGGGAGGUGUAGUCAAGAACAGUGUGUCUAUGAUAUUACAUUAACUUGUACAUCAAUUGGCUAGGCUACAAACAUCCUAAAUUGUAUCAUCUUAAAAUCAAUCUUGCUAGUUUGGACCUACUUUUUGAAGCAUCUUUGGAACAAGUUUUUAUUUUUUACAGGUAACUACAUAUGCAUUAAAGCAAUGAUCCAAUGAUAGCAUGAUAACAUGAAAACAUGAAACAUGACAAAUGAUAGCAUGAUAACAUGAAAACAUGAACAUCAUCCACCAGCGACACCCUUAACUUCUCCACCACCAAUGACCCACAUAACAGAAUCAGAAUUCACUCAACUGAUCUGUUGACCUUUUGCUGUGUUUAAAGACAACCCUUUCCUGUCCCAACAUGGGGGAAUCAAUAGGGAAACACACAUUCUGGACUAUUUCAUGGGAGAACACUCAUUAUUGACUAUUUCCAUUCUUAUUAUAAGGACAGUGUCCAAAGUGGCCUGGGCAGUAGGGGGCCAUUUCAAAACCUAGACAUUUCAGAUGCAUCCUAAGGCUGAAAAGGUAAAUGAUGCACAUAUACGCAGCAGAAGGAGUCAGGUGUUUCCACAGCCUAGUGGUGGUCACUUUUGAACUCUAGAGAAAGUACAGUCCAUCCUUAGAGUGUUAAAGACAGAUGAGAUUUAUUUUGCUAUCUGCCAUCAUGACUCUGUCAUAAAUCUGUAAUGCGGGGGAAGAGGUUUAUUUCAAUGUGACUCUGUUUUCUUACUCCUCGUGGUCACUGAUUACCGCUACACCCCACUGUAGAUGUCCUAUAGAUGAUUUCUGGAGGGAACAAAACGGCAUACGUUGUGAGGGUUUCCCCUCCACUUAGGGCAGCAUGUUUGGGUCACUUGUAAGCUACUCAAAAGUAACUUAUGUUCCUUUAAGAAGUUAAAGCCCUGUCAUUUCAAGUGGAAGAGGGACAAUACAGGACAGGACAGAAUGGAAAAACAGAAAGGUUCAACAGAGGUUUAUGGAGUGUGUAGAAAAGUGGGUAAGAUUGGGGCUGGCUUUGGCCGAUGUGGUUGUCAAAGGCAGAAAUUGAGUUAUGGGCACUCAUGUUCCUGCCAUUGUGAAAAAAGAGACGAAGUAGAUUGUUCUUUUUCCCCAUCUAGUAUUAAUUCACAGUUACUGCUUCUUUUUGCAUAUAUCUGAUGAGCACAGGGCUCUCAGAAUAGUUCUCUGUGAAAAGAUAACAAAAAAGUAAAUGGUAAGGUAAAUAUUAUUACCAGUUAGUCUAGUUAGGUCUAUAAGAAAUAACAGCUACAAGAGACCACUACUUACCCCUUCCCUACAAUUGUAAAAAAUGGAUUUCCCAAACACCCCCCCCAACCCUGCUAGAGUAACAAUGGUCUCUUCCAUCUUUUUGCAUCAUAGCAUGCAUAUAUAAGCCCCACUCUUCUGAUAGAAAACAGUAGAGGUAAGUGCUCUUUCCCCUAAUAGCAUGCUGGUCAUCUAUAUGGAUGUGCGUAGAACACAUUCAUAUACACUUUUUAUAUACUAUAACUAUGUACACAUUCAUUAAGCUUACGAUCAAAUCUCAUGUCUUAUCAAAUCACGUUUCCUGACUAAAGAUACAGACACAUCGAUUCCUUAUUGCUUGCAAUGGAAAGCCCAUGCAGAUUGAAAUAGGUCAAAACUUUACAACUGUACAGAAUAUUUUGGACCAAUAACUGGCCUAAGAAGAAUUCUUAAAGAAAUUAAAAACAGACACCCAAAGCACUAGAUCAAGGGAAAGGAUUCUGGAGAGAUCAAGGAAGGAUGAGAGAACAUGAGAGUCAUUUGGUAGUUUGUGUUUGGGCAACAGUGUCAUAUACAAAGAUAAAGACACUAUGGGUACAAACAACUCUGGGGGCUGAGUACCAGUGUGGGCGUGGCGGGGUGAAUUCCAUUUAUAUUCUAUCAAUUCUGAAGGUGAAUAUAACAUUCAAAUCCUAAUAUUCUGUAAAAUGGUGGUAUUCAUUUGUGCCUCAAACGAAUAUUCUGCUUCACGGGCAUUAACAACAUAUUCUAGUCUGAAGUCAUUCAGGUGACAUCGAAAUGAGGGGAGUGCAAAACAGUUAUCAGCAACUGGAUGAUCUCUGACCAAUCAGAGCUCUACAGAAGCCGUUUUGACAUUUAGUUUUUCUCAUGUUCACUCUUUUCUCAUGGCUCUGGUCCAGCCCAUCCAUUUCUUGGACCUAUCAGAGGGAACCCAUCAGUUUCUAGGACCAAUCAGAAUGUUUUAGAUAAUUUAGACAAUAUAUCCAUCUCCUGGAGAUUCCAGACUCCUUGCAGAGAAGAAACAAAUGGCAGUAGCACAACAUUUGGCCAGAGCAAGGAGUCUGGGUUGCCAGGAAAAGCUCUAAAUUCAUGGACUGAGAUUCACUGCAGUCAGAACAGCCUCCACCCUAACCCUUUAGGUUCUCCCUCCCUGACAGUGCUGCAGUCAGAACAGCCUCCACCCUAACCCUUUAGGUUCUCCCUCCCUGACAGUGCUGCAGUCAGAACAGCCUCCACCCUAACCCUUUAGGUUCUCCCUCCCUGACAGUGCUGCAGUCAGAACAGCCUCCACCCUAACCCUUUAGGUUCUCCCUCCCUGACAGUGCUGCAGUCAGAACAGCCUCCACCCUAACCCUUUAGGUUCUCCCUCCCUGACAGUGCUGCAGUCAGAACAGCCUCCACCCUAACCCUUUAGGUUCUCCCUCCCUGACAGUGCUGCCUCAUUUUUAAAACACUUAACCCACAAAGGCUUCUUCUAUUCUACCCUGCUACUACUGACAUAUCAUACUCUGAUCUAAUACGCGUCACAUCUCUUCACAAUGUCAGGCUGUCCUGUGGAGGACACAGUUCUUAACCUAACCAGUCCUGAGCUUUGAUUUAUGUUAAGCUUUUGUCUCAUUGUCUUUCUCUUUUUGUGUUGCCAAGAUAGAUGACUGUGGGUACCCUAUAGUCUUUUUGUAGCUGAAUACUAACUGAGGUGCGCACAAAGGCUACUUCUAUAUGAUGCUAAUGCGAACACUAGAUAUAGAUAAUGCCCGUUCUAAGACUUUGCUACUUCUGUCUGUACACAACUCUCUGUUUCUAGUGAGAGAGGAAAGGGUGGACAAGUGAAAGAUGAUGAGGGGAAGCCAUGGGAGGAUAAAAAAUCAAUAAAUCACAUCAAUUCAACCUGACAGAUUUCAAGCAACAACUGGAAUCGACCAGUGAGAGACACAAGCAUUACCUUAAAAAUGGCAACAUUCGAUGCCAAUAAGUAUCAACAAUAAAAUCGACAUCUGAUAAAAGGAGAUAACAUUGUAAAAUACAAAAAUAAACAAUUCUGUAAAUGAACCGCUUAAAUAAAAAUAUACAAUCAUGAGUGACAAUAACAAAACAUCGACAGUGGGUAUAUAAACAUAGAAUGGUCAUAGCAUUGACAUUCAUACCCAUUUCCUUUUCAUCAAACUAUUUCAAAAGAAAAUUGAGAUUUGAAAAAGUUAGUCUCUUUCUGAUCUCUGAUAUGGAAGGAAAACAUGUAUCCUCCUUUUUUUUCUCCAGAAAACAGUGAGAAAGUAAGGAAAGAUCUGUCGUUUGGAUGAAUUGGCACUCUUGCAUCUUGGGCUGGAGGUAGAUGCAUGUCUGUGCACACAAAACCAUAUGUGUGCCACAGAUACACAGCACACAGCACAUCUCCAUAAGAUUAACUAUACAUAGAUACAAAUAUAUUUCUAUACAUUGCAUAUUUCUAUAUAUGUAUGUUGCCUUUUUUGUUCAUUUUGUCAUUGGUUUGUUGGGUUCUUCUACCAAGCGCUGUCAGUCCAUCCUCCAUUCACAGUGCCCUCUUUUAACAUGAGGACCGAUGACGGUUCAGCAGCCAGGGCAGGUAGGUGGUGG
ensembl:lncRNA